rnacentral:rRNA from 1 species
GACGAACGCUGGCGGCGUGCUUAACACAUGCAAGUCGAACGGCAAGGCCCUGCUUUUGUGGGGUGCUCGAGUGGCGAUCGGGUGAGUAACACGUGAGCAACCUGCCCUUGUCUUUGGGAUAACUUCAGGAAACUGAGGCUAAUAUCGGACAGGAUCUCCUGCUGCAUGGUGGGCGUUGGAAAGUUUCGGCGGUUGGGGAUGGACUCGCGGCUUAUCAGCUUGCUGGUGGGGUAGUGGCUUACCAAGGCUUUGACGGGUAGGCGGCCUGGGUGGGUGACCGGCCACAUUGGGACUGAGGUACGGCCCAGACUGCUACGGGAGGCAGCAGGGGGGAGUAUUGCACAAUGGGCGGAAGCCUGAUGCAGCAGCGCCGCGGUCGGGAUGACGGCCUUCGGGUUGUAAACCGCUUUCGCCUGUGACGAAGCGGGAGUGACGGUAAUGGGUGAAGAAGCACCGGCUAACUACGUG